CGUCACCUUCACCACCCCCACCUUACAUCUACAAGUCUCCUCCUCCACCAUCACCUUCACCACCCCCACCCUACAUCUACAAGUCUCCUCCUCCACCAUCACCUUCUCCACCACCUCCCUACUACUAUCACUCUCCACCUCCACCCGUAAAGUCUCCUCCUCCUCCUUAUUACUACAGCUCGCCUCCUCCACCGGUAAAAUCGCCUCCUCCCCCGGCGUACAUUUACGCUUCACCACCACCACCAGUCCACUACUAAAAGUUUCUAAGAGUGCAGUCAUUCUCCACAAUCAAUCAAAUUUUAGUUUGAAACACAAAAUAAAUGAUGGCUUCUUGAGGAAUAGAUUCAAACGUCAAUGGUUCAAAGCAAUUAAUUUAUGGAAUAACAUUUUCAAUCUUUUAAUUGAAGGGUUGAUUCUUCAUGACAUGGACAUAUUUGAUUCUACUUCUCUUUUGUCCUUCUUGCACAUUGUUCUCUUAGUGCGUUCACAUGAACGUAUCUAGGCUUUGAUGCUUCUUAGAGUUUGUUUCUUUGUAACUUAUUAUUUGUAUUGAGGAUAUUGUCCUCUUUUAUUCAUUCUUAUUAAUUAUUACUGAAUGUUGUUCUCGUAACACCUUUAUGUACUUUGUGCAUUAAUCAAUAAGAAGAUCAAUUUUAUUA